rnacentral:lncRNA from 1 species
CCAGGCUGCAAUGGAUAGAACUUGAUUGAGACCCUUCUUCCUCUCAGAGUGCUGGGACCACAGUCAUGCAUAUCUUUCCCAAACUCGCAGCACGGCCGGUCCCGUCCUCGCCAUGAGGCCGCAGCAGGCGCCGGUGUCCGGGAAAGUGUUCAUCCAGCGAGACUACAGUAGUGGCACAUGCUGCCAGUUCCAGACCAAGUUCCCCGCGGAGCUGGAGAACCGGAUUGAUAGGCAGCAGUUUGAAGAAACUGUGCGAACUCUAAAUAACCUUUAUACAGGAGCAGAGAAGCGCCGGGGGCCAAUCCUAUCUUGAAGGCUGUUUGGCUUGUUUAACAGCAUACACCAUCUUCUUAUGCAUGGAAACCCAUUAUGAGACGGUUCUGAAGAAAGUUUCCAAAUACAUUCAAGAACAGAAUGAGAAGAUAUAUGCUCCCCAAGGCCUCCUCUUAACAGACCCCAUUGAGAGAGGACUUCGAGUUAUUGGAAUUACCAUUUAUGAAGACAGAGGCAUGAGCAGUGGAAGAUAAACUAUCAAUUUAAAGAUCCCACCUCCCACUGGGACCCUCAUCUGUCCGCUGACUGAUCACAGAGUGUCCCUACCUCCUCUCCAGAGCAUCAUUCCUUUGUAUCUGCUGCAAGAGCCAUGGUGCCAUUUAACUCCAAGGACUAACUUUCUAAAAUUCCAUGCCUGAGGUGACCUCUAGUCACUCAGCACCCACUUUGUGUCUCCAAAUUGUGUAGGACUCUGUAAUCUUUUGAUUAGUUUCUGAGAAAACACAAUGAAGCAUUUCAUUUUUUAAAUUCAAAGCCAUUUAGUAAAAUAUGCAGUUGGUCAGCCAAUGCAGUUUUGUUUCUUACCUGUACCAGUACCAGUUUAUUCCCCAGGCCAGUUCCCAGGGUGGCUUUUGACUUCAAUAAGUCCUGUCUUAGGCAGUGUUUGGUCUUACUCCCCUAAGUUGAUAAAAGGCUUUGUUCCAGAUGGGGGUAUGUAUAUCUGUAGUUUUGCUAGUACAGCUCCCAGAUUUCAAAGAACUACACAUUUUGCUAUGAUUCAAAUCCUAAGAUUGAUUCAAACCGAAGCUCACUGAAGAAAAUAAUGUAUAAUGUGAUUUGUCUCAUUAUAGCAACUAUUCCUAAUUAAAGCAGUAUUUAGUGCAGUUUUCAGUUAAUUUCUUUGGAGACUUUUAUAUUAUUGCAAUACUUUGAAUGUUGGGAAGAUGUGGUCUGUGUUGCUUAUUCAUUACACAAAUAAGUAAGCACAAUGAAGUGGAUGCUAAACCAUC